UACGAAGGGGGCUAGCGUUGUUCGGAAUUACUGGGCGUAAAGCGCACGUAGGCGGAUUGUUAGGUCAGAGGUGAAAUCCCGGAGCUCAACUUCGGAACUGCCUUUGAUACUGGCAAUCUAGAGUCCGGAAGAGGUUAGUGGAAUUCCCAGUGUAGAGGUGAAAUUCGUAGAUAUUGGGAAGAACACCAGUGGCGAAGGCGGCUAACUGGUCCGGUACUGACGCUGAGGUGCGAAAGCGUGGGGAGCAAACAGG
rnacentral:rRNA from 1 species